rnacentral:lncRNA from 1 species
GGGCUUUGCUCAUUGUUAAAGGCUUACGGGGUGACCUAUAGUUAUUAUUUCUGGGUCAUCUGGUCUCCUGUAUAGAAUUGUCUCAUUUCUACAUAAUGUACAUGUUAUUUAAACCCGUCCCCUUACAUCUAUAGUCUUCUUUUUUCUAAAGCCUGCAUAUAUUCUGGGUUUCUUUUUUACGAUUGAAUGUUGUUAAUUGACAGGUAGUUUUAAAGAGUUUUAAAUAUUCUUCCCCACAUAUGAUCAGAUCAAUGUUUUCGUACUUUAUAUAUGCAUGAAUAUGUACUAUGCUUGCUUUCUCAAUUAAAAUUGUGAUGUCACAAAAAAUUAAUAGCACGAAAAGCCCAUGAGAUGAGGAUAUUCUUCAGUUUUAAUAAAAUUUAUUAACUAGUAAAUUUAAAAUGUUCACUGCUGUGUAGAUAUUUAUAAAACUUCGAAGUAGUGAUCAAUUUCUUCACUAAUUGCGAUAAUUUCACGUUUCUUUCCCGAUCCAAUUUCCUAUUAUUUAGGU